GACGUAGGGCGCGAGCGUUGUUCGGAAUUACUGGGCGUAAAGGGCGCGUAGGCGGCCUUCUAAGUCGAACGUGAAAUCCCUGGGCUCAACCCAGGAACUGCGUCCGAUACUGGAAGGCUUGAAUCCGGGAGAGGGAUGCGGAAUUCCAGGUGUAGCGGUGAAAUGCGUAGAUAUCUGGAGGAACACCGGUGGCGAAGGCGGCAUCCUGGACCGGUAUUGACGCUGAGGCGCGAAAGCCAGGGGAGCAAACGGG
rnacentral:rRNA from 1 species